rnacentral:rRNA from 1 species
UACGUAGGGUGCAAGCGUUAAUCGGAAUUACUGGGCGUAAAGCGUGCGCAGGCGGCUUUGCAAGACAGAUGUGAAAUCCCCGGGCUUAACCUGGGAACUGCAUUUGUGACUGCAUGGCUGGAGUGCGGCAGAGGGGGAUGGAAUUCCACGUGUAGCAGUGAAAUGCGUAGAGAUGUGGAGGAACACCGAUGGCGAAGGCAGCCCCCUGGGUCGACACUGACGCUCAUGCACGAAAGCGUGGGGAGCAAACAGG